rnacentral:rRNA from 1 species
CCUACGAGAGGCAGCAGUGAGGAAUAUUGGUCAAUGGGCGCGAGCCUGAACCAGCCAAGUCGCGUGAGGGAGGACGGCCCUACGGGUUGUAAACCUCUUUUGCCGGGGAGCAACGGGCGUCACGUGUGGCGCCACUGAGAGUACCCGGAGAAAAAGAAUCGGCUAACCCCGUGCCAGCAGCCGCGGGAAUACAGAGGCUGCGAGCUUUGUCCGGAUUUAUGGGGUUAAAAGGGUGCGUAGGCGGAUCGUAAAGUCAGUGGUCAAAUUGAGGGGCUCAACCCCUUCCCGCCAUUGAAACUGGCGCUCUUGAGUGGAAGAGAGGUAUGCGGAAUGCGUGGUGUAGCGGUGAAAUGCAUAGAUAUCACGCAGAACCCCGAUUGCGAAGGCAGCAUGCCGGCUUCCGACUGACGCUGAAGCACGAAAGCGUGGGGAUCGAACAGGAUUAGAUACCCUUGUAGUC